rnacentral:rRNA from 1 species
CGGGACACGUGGUAUCCUGUCUGAAUAUGGGGGGACCAUCCUCCAAGGCUAAAUACUCCUGACUGACCGAUAGUGAACCAGUACCGUGAGGGAAAGGCGAAAAGAACCCCGGCGAGGGGAGUGAAAAAGAACCUGAAACCGUGUACGUACAAGCAGUGGGAGCACGCUUAGGCGUGUGACUGCGUACCUUUUGUAUAAUGGGUCAGCGACUUAUAUUCUGUAGCAAGGUUAACCGAAUAGGGGAGCCGAAGGGAAACCGAGUCUUAACUGGGCGUUAAGUUGCAGGGUAUAGACCCGAAACCCGGUGAUCUAGCCAUGGGCAGGUUGAAGGUUGGGUAACACUAACUGGAGGACCGAACCGACUAAUGUUGAAAAAUUAGCGGAUGACUUGUGGCUGGGGGUGAAAGGCCAAUCAAACCGGGAGAUAGCUGGUUCUCCCCGAAAGCUAUUUAGGUAGCGCCUCGUGAAUUCAUCUCCGGGGGUAGAGCACUGUUUCGGCAAGGGGGUCAUCCCGACUUACCAACCCGAUGCAAACUGCGAAUACCGGAGAAUGUUAUCACGGGAGACACACGGCGGGUGCUAACGUCCGUCGUGAAGAGGGAAACAACCCAGACCGCCAGCUAAGGUCCCAAAGUCAUGGUUAAGUGGGAAACGAUGUGGGAAGGCCCAGACAGCCAGGAUGUUGGCUUAGAAGCAGCCAUCAUUUAAAGAAAGCGUAAUAGCUCACUGGUCGAGUCGGCCUGCGCGGAAGAUGUAACGGGGCUAAACCAUGCACCGAAGCUGCGGCAGCGACGCUGAUGCGUUGUUGGGUAGGGGAGCGUUCUGUAAGCCUGUGAAGGUGUGCUGUGAGGCAUGCUGGAGGUAUCAGAAGUGCGAAUGCUGACAUAAGUAACGAUAAAGCGGGUGAAAAGCCCGCUCGCCGGAAGACCAAGGGUUCCUGUCCAACGUUAAUCGGGGCAGGGUGAGUCGACCCCUAAGGCGAGGCCGAAAGGCGUAGUCGAUGGGAAACAGGUUAAUAUUCCUGUACUUGGUGUUACUGCGAAGGGGGGACGGAGAAGGCUAUGUUGGCCGGGCGACGGUUGUCCCGGUUUAAGCGUGUAGGCUGGUUUUCCAGGCAAAUCCGGAAAAUCAAGGCUGAGGCGUGAUGACGAGGCACUACGGUGCUGAAGCAACAAAUGCCCUGCUUCCAGGAAAAGCCUCUAAGCAUCAGGUAACAUCAAAUCGUACCCCAAACCGACACAGGUGGUCAGGUAGAGAAUACCAAGGCGCUUGAGAGAACUCGGGUGAAGGAACUAGGCAAAAUGGUGCCGUAACUUCGGGAGAAGGCACGCUGAUAUGUAGGUGAAGCGACUUGCUCGUGGAGCUGAAAUCAGUCGAAGAUACCAGCUGGCUGCAACUGUUUAUUAAAAACACAGCACUGUGCAAACACGAAAGUGGACGUAUACGGUGUGACGCCUGCCCGGUGCCGGAAGGUUAAUUGAUGG